rnacentral:rRNA from 1 species
AAACCAACAGGGGUUGCCUCAGUAGCGGCGAGUGAAGCGGCAAGAGCUCAGAUUUGAAAUCUCACCUAGUGUGCGAGUUGUAAAUUGCAGGUUGGAGUCUCGGGUUAGACGUGUGUGCAAGUCCCUUGGAACAGGGUGCCACUGAGGGUGAGAGCCCCGUAUCGUGCAUGUCGACACCUGUGAGGCCCUUCUGACGAGUCGAGUUGUUUGGGAAUGCAGCUCUAAGUGGGUGGUAAAUUCCAUCUAAGGCUAAAUAUUGGCGAGAGACCGAUAGCGAACAAGUACUGUGAAGGAAAGAUGAAAAGCACUUUGAAAAGAGAGUGAAACAGCACGUGAAAUUGUUGAAAGGGAAGGGUAUUGGGCUCGACAUGGGAUUUACGCAUCGUUGCCUCUCGUGGGCGGCGCUCUGGGUUUUUCCUGGGCCAGCAUCGGUUUUCGUUGCAGGAUAAGGACAAUUGGAAUGUGGCUCCUCGGAGUGUUAUAGCCUUUUGUAGAUGCUGCGUAUGGGGACCGAGGGCUGCGGCGGACUCGUUUCGUCUCGGAUGCUGGCACAACGGCGCAAUACCG